UCAGCCCCCUGGGAAAGUACAUAUCUGUGAGGCGCUCGCUGCCCGCCGCUUGCAUUCGGCCGGCGCCCCGUCCCGCACGGACCAACCCCGCCCGGCAGCUCCGCUCCGCUCCCCCGGGGCCUGCGUCCGGACUCGGGGCUCUCCCGCAACUUUCCAAGCUUUUCUUUCGGAAGGAGUUCGCGCGGGGACGCGCCCUAGCCCACCGCCACCAUGGAUGCCAUCAAGAAGAAGAUGCAGAUGCUGAAGCUGGACAAGGAGAACGCCUUGGACAGAGCCGAGCAAGCCGAAGCGGACAAGAAGGCAGCGGAGGAGAGAAGCAAGCAGCUGGAGGACGAGCUGGUGGCUCUGCAAAAGAAGCUGAAGGCCACUGAGGAUGAGCUGGACAAAUACUCCGAGUCCCUUAAAGAUGCACAGGAAAAGUUGGAACUGGCUGACAAAAAGGCCACAGAUGCUGAGAGUGAAGUAGCUUCUCUGAACAGACGCAUCCAGCUGGUUGAGGAAGAGUUGGAUCGGGCUCAGGAGCGCUUGGCCACUGCCCUGCAGAAGCUGGAGGAGGCUGAGAAGGCUGCAGAUGAGAGUGAAAGAGGAAUGAAGGUCAUUGAAAACAGGGCCCAGAAGGAUGAAGAGAAGAUGGAAAUCCAGGAGAUCCAGCUCAAAGAGGCCAAGCACAUUGCUGAAGAGGCUGACCGCAAGUAUGAAGAGGUGGCUCGUAAGCUGGUGAUCAUUGAGAGCGACCUGGAGCGCGCUGAGGAGCGUGCUGAGCUAUCAGAAAGCAAAUGUGCUGAGCUUGAAGAGGAGUUGAAAACUGUGACCAACAACCUGAAGUCGCUGGAGGCUCAGGCUGAGAAGUACUCACAGAAAGAAGACAAGUAUGAAGAGGAGAUUAAAGUUCUGACUGACAAACUGAAGGAGGCUGAGACCCGUGCUGAGUUUGCUGAGAGGUCAGUAACCAAGCUGGAGAAGAGCAUUGAUGACCUAGAAGAUGAGCUCUAUGCUCAGAAACUGAAGUACAAAGCCAUCAGUGAGGAGCUGGACCACGCUCUCAAUGACAUGACUUCCAUGUAAAUGUCCUCCCAGCCCGUGCCUGCUGCUGCUUCCCUGCCCUCACUGAUUGCGCACUUCCGCCCUUGUGAGAUGAUGCUCCCUGCGUGGUGGGAGAUGCUUUCCUUUAGAGACAAUAGGUGUACAAAAUACCAUGAACAAUUGCUUUACCCUGGCAAAGUGUGGAUAAUUUUCUUUGCUUCAGUUCUCCAAAGACAUCUUCAUCGGGUUGGAUAAAACAUCUUUCCAAGCUUUGGAUGUUUCAUGGGCUCAUUGUGCUGUCUUCUAGCUUAGCUGACUCUUCCUCUAUCACCUGUCUCAGAACAUGCUCUGUUUGUGCUCUGCUGUACAGAAACUACAUUUCUCAAUGUAAAAUAAAUAUCCCAGCUGUAUCCCUUUUGCUAUUCCUUUGCCUUUUAUUUAUUUAAGUAACUAUUUAAGUUAUUAAUAAAAUUUGCCCUUUUAUGCCAUUAGGGAUUUCAUUUUUUGGUGUUUUCAUUUUUUAGCUGAAAACACUUUUGCCUGAACGUUGACAAUGCCAAGCCAGCCAGUGCUGUGUGUGAAAACUGACCAGUUAUUAUCUGAGUUUUUCUCAAACUCUGCUGCAGAUAAAAUGACAAAUAGAUGUAAUAGGAACUCUUCUAGUUGUUAUUGUUAGGACAAAAUUUGCAAGGUCACUGCUUCCUUGGGGUCAUUGGUCGUGGGAGCAUGGCUGAGGGAGCAGUUACAUCCUUGAUGGAACCAGAUUUUUCACUUUAAAGCCUGAAAUCUUUUCCUAGCUUUAUGCUAAAGACUUCUUAUCUCUAUUUAAAUGUCUUUGUUCAUUAACUUAUAUAUUUGAAACAGAUUUAAAGAGGCAGCAUCAUAAACUUUAAAUUUUUUUUUCACCCAAAAAUAAUCCUUGAAAUGUCUUGCAAAAAAGGUUUUCCCUCUUUCACACCUCAGUUAUUCAGCAAAGAUGAUGCUUGCUAACAUUCUGGGGUUUUUACAAUACAUUUUUCUUGAGUGGCAUGGUAGUAUUGGAAGUUCAUUGGGGAGGUUUCAGUAGCUUUUUAGCUUUAGUUCAGACUUGUGAGUUUGAAUUGCAGAUUUAUGAGAAAUGUUUCAAAGCUGGAGUAGGAAAAUUCUAUUGAUGAUGCUAUUAAUGAAAUUACUCUGCUGCAAAGUGGAACAUCAUGGAUUUCUGGUUUCAGCUGAUUUGUCACUGUCUGAUUAAGGAUGAAGCAUUAAAUACUGACAUCUUGUGCUCUUUUUGUAUUAUUUGCAACUAAGGAGUUUAUUGCCUUAUUUUAACUUUAUUUACAUCACAGUGAAAGAAGUUAUUUUCCAGUUCACAUGGAAGCAAAACCCAGAUUGAUUUCUGGUGAUACUCUAACUCUAUAUAUUGCUAAAGUUCCUAAGUCACCAAAGCUAAAUAAAUUCCUUAUACCAUAGCUGAACUGUAGUUUUUAACUUUUAGAAUAAUGUAAAUAUCUCUUUCUUGUUCAGCUUCAAGACAGUGCAGUCUAAAGUAGAUUUUCUCCCCUCCUCAAAACUUGUUUUCCCAGUAAGGCUUGGGAUGGAUACAUGCCCUUCCUGGCCUGCCAUCCUUGGAUAACUUUGGCAUUUCCCAGUUCUCUACCUCUGACACAUCCUAAUGUUGCUGGCUGGGGGCAGACCCCCAAAUACAGGAUACAAAUCAGCAAUCACAGACAGUUCAAGUAAUCAAGUUCAGUAAUUUACUACUCCUCAACUGCCACAGUAAGUGGCUGUGUGUGAAGGGCAACCAGAUAGAAUGGGAUAUAUAAAAGUUAACCAAAUAUAAUGGGAUGAGCAUUUGUAAAAUGACUGAGGCUAAUAGCUUCACAAAUGCAGGAGUUAGGGGAUUUUGGUCAACUGUAACUUGUCAUCUGAGCCAGAGUAAAAUAUGCUACAGCAACUCCAGCUACUUAAUCUAUUGUGUUUUGGUUCAUUGUUUUAGCAGAGUUUUUUUGUCCACUCAAUUCCUUGCAAUAGUGGUGUCUCUUA